rnacentral:lncRNA from 1 species
GAUUUAUGUCACAAAUUGACAUAAAAAGUAUCAAUUAAUAUCUAAAUUAUCUAACUUUAUUAGGAAAUUGAUAUUUGUUAUUAUAUUUUGCAGAAGAAGAGAUCAUCAAUAGAAAGAACAAGGAAAGAGGAUUCCAACGGUGUAAAUUUUACGCAAAAUGGAGUUAAAUUGACCCAGGAAUUGAAGAAUGAAGAAAGAAGAC